AUUGAACGCUGGCGGCAGGCUUAACACAUGCAAGUCGAACGAGUGGCGGACGGGUGAGUAAUGCUUGGGAAUCUAGCUUAUGGCGGGGGAUAACUACGGGAAACUGUAGCUAAUACCGCGUACCAUAGGAUGAGCCCAAGGGGGAUUAGGUAGUUGGUGAGGUAAAGGCUCACCAAGCCGACGAUCUCUAGCUGGUCUGAGAGGAUGACCGUCCACACUGAGACUGAGGCACGGCCCAGAAUCGUACGGGAGGCAGCAGUGGGGAAUAAUGCACAAUGGGCGCAAGCCCGAUGCAGCCAUGCCGCGUGUGUGAAGAAGGCCUUCGGGUUGUAAAGCACUUUCAGCGAGGAGGCGUUACUCGCAGAAGAAGCACCGGCUAACUCCGUGCCAGCAGACGCGGUAAUAC
rnacentral:rRNA from 1 species